rnacentral:rRNA from 2 species
AACAGCUCAAAUUUGAAAUCUGGCGCAAGCCCGAGUUGUAAUUUGUAGAGGAUGCUUCAGGGCAGCGGCCGGUCUAAGUUCCUUGGAACAGGACGUCAUAGAGGGUGAGAAUCCCGUAUGCGACCGGUUGGCACCCGUCACGUAGCUCCUUCGACGAGUCGAGUUGUUUGGGAAUGCAGCUCUAAAUGGGAGGUAAAUUUCUUCUAAAGCUAAAUACCGGCCAGAGACCGAUAGCGCACAAGUAGAGUGAUCGAAAGAUGAAAAGCACUUUGGAAAGAGAGUUAAAAAGCACGUGAAAUUGUUGAAAGGGAAGCGCAUGCAACCAGACUCGUCGGCGGUGUUCCGCCGGUCUUCUGACCGGUCUAUUCGCCGCCGGCGGGCCAGCAUCACUUGGGGGCGCCGGAUAAAGGCGCGGGGAAUGUGGCCCCUCGGGGUGUUAUAGCCCCGCGCACAAUACGGCGACCCGCGAGUGAGGUCCGCGCUUCGGCUAGGAUGCUGGCGUAAUGGUUGUCUGCGGCCCGUCUUGAAACACGGACCAAGGAGUCUAACAUCUAUGCGAGUGUUCGGGUGUCAAACCCCUGCGCGUAAUGAAAGUGAACGGAGGUGGGAGCUUAGGCGCACCAUCGACCGAUCCUGAUGUCUUCGGAUGGAUUUGAGUAAGAGCAUAGCUGUUGGGACCCGAAAGAUGGUGAACUAUGCCUGAAUAGGGUGAAGCCAGAGGAAACUCUGGUGGAGG